AAAUGGGUGUUUAAGGAAUGCUAACCAUGGAAUCAACCAGGGCAGAAAAGACCUUUAAGCUCACAAAGUCCAACCGUUCCCAGCACUGCCAAGGCCACCACUAACCCAUGGCACUGA